GUUGCUAAGGAACCAAGGAGGGGUAGAUGUCACUUCCAUAACUCCUGGGCUCCGAGGUCCCUUGGCCUCCGGGCCUUCCCCAUUCACCAAGCCCUGGCUACCCUUGGCCCUGAAGUCCCAGGUACCUUCCUGGAUUGGUGUCGCCUGGGCCUGGGUUUGAAUCCUGCCCUGUACCUUCAACAUUCAGGUUUUAGGUUCCAUGCCAUCUGCUGGGCAAGGCCUUCAUGCCAGCCCACUCCUACCCCUGCUGACCUUCUCUUGCUGUCUCCCUGUCUGGCACGCCCGCCCUUGGGAUGCUGGGGGGCAGGUGUGGGGGGGUGUCCAAGGACAUUCGUCCUUGUGGAGCAGGCACUUUCUUGUCUCUUUCUCCCCAGCACAGGUCGGCUCCGAGAAGGUGCGCAGUGGAUGCUGUUGAAUGAGUUGGCAGUGGACCAAGGAAAGGAGGAGGGCCCAUCUCUGACAGUGAAACCUCCUUCCUCGGCACCACACCUGCCCCUACCUGGCUUUUCAUUUGUUAAUAAACCUUCAGCCCCUUGAUGGCAGGGA